UACAGAGGGGCAAGCGUUGUUCGGAAUUACUGGGCGUAAAGGGCGCGUAGGCGGCCUGUUAAGUCGAACGUGAAAUCCCCGGGCUCAACCCGGGAACUGCGUCCGAUACUGGCAGGCUUGAAUCCGGGAGAGGGAUGCGGAAUUCCAGGUGUAGCGGUGAAAUGCGUAGAUAUCUGGAGGAACACCGGUGGCGAAGGCGGCCCGU
rnacentral:rRNA from 1 species